AAUAAGUGCAGUUUUACACUAUUCACGUUCAACGUUUGACUGUCCGUCUUAUUUGAAAAAUUUGUGAAAAAAUUAAAAGCAUUUAGUCACACAUAAAGUACUAUUUAUGUUUUAUCAUCUAAUAGCAACAAAAAUACUAAUCAUAAAAAAUUUUCAAAUAAGACGGACGGUCAAACGUUGAACGUGAAUAGUGUAAAACUGCACUUAUU
rnacentral:pre_miRNA from 1 species